GAUUAACGCUGGCGGCGUGCAUAACACAUGCAAGUCGAACGAUGAAACUUAACUGAUUUCUUCGGAAUGAUUUUAAGUGGAUUAGUGGCGGACGGGUGAGUAACGCGUGAGUAACCUGCCUUGGAGAAGGGGAUAGCCUUUGGCAACGAAGAAUAAUACCCUAUGAUAUGAUAAUAUCUCAUGAUAUUAUCAUCAAAGAUUUAUCGCUCUAAGAUGGACUUGCGUCUGAUUAGUUAGUUGGUGAGGUAACAGCUCACCAAGGCAGCGAUCAGUAGCCGGCUUGAGAGAGUGUACGGCCACAUUGGGACUGAGACACGGCCCAGACUCCUACGGGAGGCAGCAGUGGGGAAUUUUGCACAAUGGGGGAAACCCUGAUGCAGCGACGCCGCGUGAUUUAGAAGGCCUUCGGGUUGUAAAAAUCUUUUGUAUGGGAAGAAAAUGACAGUACCAUACGAAUAAGGACCGGCUAAUUACGUG
rnacentral:rRNA from 1 species